AUGGAGGAGUGGUUUCUUGAGCAUGAGUUAUCCCGGGGACCACCACCUUUGAUGGGGGCACCACUUGCUUCACUGGGAGGCCUUCCCAAGGUGCUGCUGACCUGGAGGAAGACAGCGGUCCCCAUGACAGCUCCAUGUCCCAGAACAUGCAGGGCAAGUCAUUUCCCCCGACCACUCUUCAGUAUGAAAUGCCAGCUGGGGAGACUUCUGCACAGACGGAAGUGGUCAGCCCUUGUCCUGGUCCUUCUCAGGAGGACUUCAAGAAGACGACGUCAACCUUUGGGAGAGGAGAUGGUUCUUGGCCGGCUCAAAAGCCAAGGCACAGAGAACACAUGCGGUGGCGACGGUGACGGGCACAACCCAGUCUUUAACAUCAGCUGA
rnacentral:lncRNA from 12 species